rnacentral:rRNA from 1 species
UGGGGAAUAUUGGACAAUGGGCGCAAGCCUGAUCCAGCCAUGCCGCGUGUGUGAAGAAGGCCUUCGGGUUGUAAACUGCUUUUGUACGGAACGAAAAGACUCCUUCUAAUAAAGGGGGUCCAUGACGGUACCGUAAGAAUAAGCACCGGCUAACUACGUGCCAGCAGCCGCGGUAAUACGUAGGGUGCAAGCGUUAAUCGGAAUUACUGGGCGUAAAGCGUGCGCAGGCGGUUAUGCAAGACAGAGGUGAAAUCCCCGGGCUCAACCUGGGAACUGCCUUUGUGACUGCAUAGCUAGAGUACGGCAGAGGGGGAUGGAAUUCCGCGUGUAGCAGUGAAAUGCGUAGAUAUGCGGAGGAACACCGAUGGCGAAGGCAAUCCCCUGGGCCUGUACUGACGCUCAUGCACGAAAGCGUGGGGAGCAAACA